rnacentral:rRNA from 1 species
GCAAGAUUAAAACUCAAAGGAAUAGACGGGGACCCGCACAAGUGGUGGAGCAUGUGGUUUAAUUCGAAGAUACGCGAAGAACCUUACCUAGCCUUGACAUAUAUUAGAACACCCUAGAGAUAGAGUGGUGCCUUCGGGAGCUUUUAUACAGGUGCUGCACGGCUGUCGUCAGCUCGUGUCGUGAGAUGUUGGGUUAAGUCCCGCAACGAGCGCAACCCUCGUCACUAGUUACUAACGGUUCGGCCGAGGACUCUAGUGAGACUGCCUUCGUAAGGAGGAGGAAGGUGAGGACGACGUCAAGUCAUCAUGGCCCUUACGGCUAGGGCAACACACGUGCUACAAUGGUUGGGACAAUGAGACGCAAUACCGCGAGGUGGAGCAAAUCUAUAAACCCAAUCUCAGUUCGGAUUGUUCUCUGCAACUCGAGAACAUGAAGCUGGAAUCACUAGUAAUCGUAGAUCAGCUAUGCUACGGUGAAUACGUUCCCGGGUCUUGUACUCACCGCCCGUCACACCAUGGGAGUUGAUUUCACCCGAAGCGGGGAAGCUAAACUGGCUACCCUCCACGGUGGAAUUAGCGACUGGGGUGAAGUCGUAACAAGGUA